GGGCGUGUAGCUCAACGGUAGAGCGGACGUCUUAUACACGUCUGGUUCCUGGUUCGAAUCCAGGCACGCCUACCA
rnacentral:tRNA from 1 species